rnacentral:rRNA from 1 species
CCUUAGUACGAGAGGACCGGGAUGGACAUACCGCUGGUGUACCAGUUGUUCCGCCAGGAGCAUCGCUGGGUAGCUAAGUAUGGAUGAGAUAAACGCUGAAAGCAUCUAAGUGCGAAACUUACCUCGAGAUAAGAUUUCCCAUUACGUAAGUAAGUAAGAUCCCUGAAAGAUGAUCAGGUAGAUAGGAUGGAAGUGGAAGUGCUGCGAGGCAUGGAGCGGAUCAUUACUAAUCGAUCGAGGACUUAACCAAG